AUGGCAGUACAAUAUAAUAAACAUACAUGUAUUCGUCUAUUGCCGAUAAUUUUUAUAUUUAUCUUAAUACUGGGAAUAUAUUUUAUAUAUAUAAUGUAUCACUGUUUACCAUUAACAUUUGUAAGUCAAAAGAAAGUAUAUGUAUUACAUAAUUUUAAGAGGGGAAUUAUAGAUCUUGUAAUUUUUCACGUUAGCUUAUUUAUGUACUUAAUUAAUUAUAUUUUAUCUAUUGUUGUAUUACCCGGAUACAUACCAAAUACAGAUGAAUGGGCGCUGAAAAAUUUUCCUGAGAAUUAUGUUAGUGAAACAGAAAAUUCCUUAUUGGAAAAAAAAAAACAGGAGAAAGAAGAUAUUGUAAAUGGUGUUCUAAAUAUAAACCGGAUAGAACUCAUCAUUGUCGUGUAUGUAAAACUUGUGUUUUAAAAAAUGGAUCAUCACUGUCCUUGGAUAUAUAAUUGUGUUGGAUAUAAAAAUCAUAAAUAUUUUAUGCUUUCUUUAAUAUAUUGUUGUAUUACUACUAUUUUUUGUUUCAAUAACUAUGUAUCCUACUGUUAGAGAUGCUAUCAAUCACUAUGAGACACCCUUUAAUGAGUUAUUUUUGUUAUUAUUUGGAGAAAUGCUGAAUACUCUUUUAGCUAUUAUUAUAACAUGUUUCUUAUUUUUUUCAUAUAUGGCUUAUUGCCAGGGGUAUGACAACAAUUGAGUUUUGUGAAAAAACGGACAAAUUAUCACAAUCAAACAUAUACGAAAUAUUAUAAUAAGGGUUUAUGGGGAAAUUUUAAGGAUACCUUUGGUGAAUCAGCAUUUUUUUGGUUUUUACCAAUAGGUACUUUUUCAUACAAUUUUUACACAACUUUUACACAAUUUUUUACACAAUUUUUUUACCUAAUUUUUUUUUAUUUUUACUAAUUAUUAUAUUUAUUUAUUCAAAAGUAUUUAUACACUCACUUUCACACACGUACAUAUAUAUAAAUGUUGUUAUAAAUUUAUGAACUUACGCGUU
rnacentral:lncRNA from 1 species